rnacentral:rRNA from 1 species
GAUGAACGCUGGCGGCGUGCCUAAUACAUGCAAGUCGAGCGAACAGACGAGGGGCUUGCUCCUCUGACGUUAGCGGCGGACGGGUGAGUAACACGUGGAUAACCUACCUAUAAGACUGGGAUAACUUCGGGAAACCGGAGCUAAUACCGGAUAAUAUAUUGAACCGCAUGGUUCAAUAGUGAAAGACGGUUUUGCUGUCACUUAUAGAUGGAUCCGCGCCGCAUUAGCUAGUUGGUAGGUAACGGCUUACCAAGGCAACGAUGCGUAGCCGACCUGAGAGGGUGAUCGGCCACACUGGAACUGAGACACGGUCCAGACUCCUACGGGAGGCAGCAGUAGGGAAUCUUCCGCAAUGGGCGAAGGCCUGACGGAGCAACGCCGCGUGAGUGAUGAAGGUCUUCGGAUCGUAAAACUCUGUUAUUAGGGAAGAACAAAUGUGUAAGUAACUAUGCACGUCUUGACGGUACCUAAUCAGAAAGCCACGGCUAACUACGU